rnacentral:misc_RNA from 1 species
ACGACGUUCUGCUGAGCGAAACGCUCUACCAAAGGAUAAAACUUUGGUCUAAUUGUAUAGGAGUUUUUGAACUAAAAAAGGAGCAAUAAUGCCCUCUUGUUUUAUCAAGAGGGAAGCUAUUGCUCCUUUUUUUUUAUUUACUUACAUAAUUUCUUUACAAAGUAACAAGGACUUUUAUAGUUUGGUUGUAUUCGCGUAUUUUCUCUUUGUAUUUUUUCAUUUUUAGUAUAGGUUUCUAUUUCUAUUCUAUAUCCUUUUCUUAAUCUUUUCUGAAGUUUUAUUUCCAAGUCAAUUUCAAUCGAAAAUAAAUAAAAAUUAUAAUUUUGCUUAUUUAUUACUUUUAUUAUUUACUUUUAUUAUUAUUUUUAUUAUUAUAUUAAAUUAAAAAUUCAUUAAAUUAAUAAUUAAUAAAUUAAUAAAAUAAMAUUCCAAUUACYUUAUCAAUUUAUAAMUAAAAACUAAAAAA